rnacentral:rRNA from 1 species
UCCAGUGACGGCGUGCCUUUUGCAUAAUGAGCCUACGAGUUACUCUUCUCUGGCAAGGUUAAGUGCUUCAGGCACGGAUCCGAAGCGAAAGCGAGUCUGAACAGGGCGUAUAGUCAGAGGAGGUAGACGCGAAACCUUGUGAUCUACCCAUGGACAGGUUGAAGGUGCGGUAACACGUACUGGAGGACCGAACCGAUAAACGUUGAAAAGUUUCCGGAUGAUCUGUGGGUAGGGGUGAAAGGCUAAUCAAACUGGGAAAUAGCUCGUACUCCCCGAAAUGUUUUUAGGAACAGCGUCGGCAUCGAGUUACAUAGAGGUAGAGCUACUGAUUGGGUGCGGGGGAGUCAAAUCCUACCAAAUCCAGACAAACUCCGAAUGCUAUGUAAUAUGGCCGGCAGUGAGGCGCGGGGUGCUAAGGUCACGCGCCGAGAGGGAAAGAACCCAGACCAUCAGCUAAGGUCCCCAAGUUACGGUUAAGUUGAACUAACGAGGUCCGAUUGCACAGACAGCUAGGAUGUUGGCUUGGAAGCAGCCAUUCAUUUAAAGAGUGCGUAACAGCUCACUAGUCGAGCGAUCGGGCAUGGAUAAUAAACGGGCAUUAAACCGUACACCGAAGCUAUGGGAUUGAAAUAUAUCGGUAGGGGAGCAUUCUAUGUGCAGUGAAGGUAUCUGGUAAUGGGUGCUGGAGCGCAUAGAAAAGCAAAUGUAGGCAUAAGUAACGAUAAGGCGGGCGAGAAACCCGCCCACCGAAAGGAUAAGGUUUCCUGAUCAACGCUAAUCGGAUCAGGGUCAGUCGGGACCUAAGGAGAACCCGAAGGGGAAAUUCGAUGGACAACUGGUUAAUAUUCCAGUACUUUUUAUAACUGCGAUGUGGGGACGGAGUAGUGACACUGCCGCGAUCUGACGGAAUAGAUCGUUGAAGGCUGUAGGUAUAUCGAACAUAGGCAAAUCCGUGAUCGAUGCUGAGCGCUGAUAGUACCAAGGACCUUCGGGCGAUUGGAUAGUGCAGGUAAUCAGACUUCCAAGAAAAACCGCUAAGCUCCAGGUUAUAAAAACCCGUACCGCAAACCGACACAGGUAUCCGGGAAGAGGAUUCUAAGGUGCUCGAGUGAAUCAUGGCUAAGGAACUCGGCAAAAUGGCCCUGUAACUUCGGGAGAAGGGGCGCUGACAGCAAUGUCAGCCGCAGUGAAAAGGCCCAGGCGACUGUUUAACAAAAACACAUGGCUUUGCAAAAUCGAAAGAUGAGGUAUAAGGCCUGACACCUGCCCGGUGCUGGAAGGUUAAGAGGGGAUGUCAUCGCAAGAGAAGCAUUGAAUCGAAGCCCCAGUAAACGGCGGCCGUAACUAUAACGGUCCUAAGGUAGCGAAAUUCCUUGUCGGGUAAGUUCCGACCUGCACGAAUGGUGUAACGAUCUGGGCGCUGUCUCAGCCAUGAGCUCGGUGAAAUUGUGGUCCCGGUGAAGACGCCGGGUACCCGCAACGGGACGGAAAGACCCCAUGCACCUUCACUACAAUUUAACAUUGACAUUGGGUACAGGAUGUGUAGGAUAGGUGGGAGGCUAUGAAUCGGUGUCGCCAGGCAUCGUGGAGCCAACGUUGAAAUACCACCCUUUCUGUAUUCGGUGUCUAAUCCCGCUAAGCGGGAGACAUUGUUUGAUGGGUAGUUUGACUGGGGUGGUCGCCUCCAAAAAGGUAACGGAGGCUUUCAAAGGUAAGCUCAGUACGCUUGGUAACCGUACGUGGAGUGCAAUAGCAUAAGCUUGCUUGACUGUGAGACAUACAGGUCGAUCAGGGUCGAAAGACGGAUAUAGUGAUCCGGUGGUUCUGCAUGGAAGGGCCAUCGCUCAAAGGAUAAAAGGUACGCUGGGGAUAACAGGCUGAUCUCCCCCAAGAGCUCAUAUCGACGGGGAGGUUUGGCACCUCGAUGUCGGCUCGUCACAUCCUGGGGCUGGAGAAGGUCCCAAGGGUUCGGCUGUUCGCCGAUUAAAGUGGCACGCGAGCUGGGUUCAGAACGUCGCGAGACAGUUCGGUCCCUAUCUGUUGUGGGCGUAGGAAUUUUGAGUGGGGCUGACCUUAGUACGAGAGGACCGGGUUGGACCAGCCUCUAGUGAAUCUGUUGUUCCGCCAGGGGCAUUGCAGAGUAGCUACGCUGGGAAUAGAUAAGCGCUGAAAGCAUCUAAGUGCGAAACUAGCCACGAGAUGAGAAUUCCAUAUAGGACCGUAGCAGACUACUACGUUGAUAGGCUACAGAUGUAAAGGUGGCGACACCACAGUCGAGUAGUACUAAUCAUCCGAAGCUUUCAA